CGUAUGCACGUUAUGCUUGCAUAAAAGUGCUUGCGAGUUUGAGAGACCUGCAACAAUAUGAGCAUAAAAGCUAAGGCGUAGCCUUGCGAUAUGCGAAUAUUGUGUAGGAUUGCGAGAGUGCUUGGCACGUAGCAAUCCGUAGGUAUC
rnacentral:sRNA from 1 species